CCUCCGGCCGGACGAGCCACGAUUGGGUGGCGUGUAUGUCAAUCCAGCGGAGGGCGGCUGCGGCAGUUGAUUCAGCUGAGUGGGUUCGGCUCCGGCAGUUGAUUCAGCUGAGUGGGUUCGGCUCCGGCAGUUGAUUCAGCUGAGUGGGUUCGGCUCCGGCAGUUGAUUCAGCUGAGUGGGUUCGGCUCCGGCAGUUGAUUCAGCUGAGUGGGUUCGGCUCCGGCAGUUGAUUCAGCUGAGUGGGUUCGGCUCCGGCAGUUGAUUCAGCUGAGUGGGUUCGGCUCCGGCAGUUGAUUCAGCUGAGUGGGUUCGGCUCCGGCAGUUGAUUCAGCUGAGUGGGUUCGGCUCCAAAGAGGCGCCACAGCAGGGAGUUAACGCGUUUCAGUCCAACUGCCCGGUUUAAACUUGCGGCGAGUGGUACACGGAACUGUGGGGGCGGUCUCAACAGAAGACGGAAAUUGACCGUGAUCAAGGCUUUUGCUAGCCUCUUGCAAGUUGUCUCCAAGCUUUACCCACUGUUCAUGAUGCGGUAGUCAUACUCUAUUUUUUUAACAGGAGUAUAACACUGUUUUCCGAUCUCGAGAGCAUCCUUCACCAAUUAAACAUCCUUCUUACAAUUCGUGGUUCAACUGAGAAUUGCAUCAAAAAUUAAAAAGAAAGAAAGAAAAAUAAAGAAGCUAAUCUGUUCAUUUCAAGAGUGCUAACAUUAAUAGAUUAAUAUGAAAAAGGAAUAAUACAUGAAUGAAGAAUACCGGAAUGAGAAGAAGUCAAAAGUGCUCAUGAUCCUCCAAAUUGGCUGAGGAAAGAACAAUUAUCAAUAUGUUCUGUUUCAUGAGAUCUUUUACUAACAAGUUAUCAAAGAAAUGAAUACGACAUCGUUGUGAUGUUCUUAUCUUCCUUUCUGUUCUAAGAUACAAAAACAUAUUUGCCAUUUAUCAUUGAUAAUUUAUUAAAUGGCCUAUUAUUAAAAUUAAAGUGACAAAGAAAGACAGAAAAUGACUUCUUCAGUUAUUGACAGCACAUUCUGCACUGACAAAGAGGGCAAUAAACAGGAAAGAAAAAAUAACAAUGAGCAGCCAAUCAGUACAGAUGGUGAUACCAAUGCAAAUGAGAUAGUAUCCCAGAUUCCUUUAACAGAAGAGAGGCAUAAAAGAGCUGACAAUGUGAAGGAGCUAUGCCAGAUGCAACAGAAUAUAAUGCUGGAAGGUGAACUUCUGGAUGUUCCUUUGAGUCAAGACGGGGCUUCUCAGCCAACAGAUACAAGAGUUAAUUUCUGCAAAAGUGCCAGUUUGGAAUUUUCAGAUGAUCAUCUCCCUAAUAUAAUUGAAAGUACAGAACUCAAACACACGGUUCACCAUGAGGAAGUUUGUAGUUCACAGUAUCUUAACAAGGAAAAUCAGAAUUGUGUUACAGGUGAAUCUAGCAGAGUUCCUCAAAUUCAACAGGAAUGUUACUCUAGAGGAGACAGUAGUUAUGCUACUGAAGCUGCCAAGGAACUACAGUGUUUGAAAACAGAGGCUACAGAUGAAAAUAAGAAAAUACAUUUCAA